GAUGAAGAACGCAGCGAAGUGCGAUAAGUAAUGUGAAUUGCAGAAUUCCGUGAAUCAUCGAAUCUUUGAACGCAAAUUGCACUUUCUGGUAUUCCGGAGAGUAUGCCUGUUUGAGGGUCAGUAUAAUAAAUAAAUCGUGGUUGUUGCCACCUUUUCGUGGUGAUGCUUCGGAAUUGAGUCGUCUUACCCUUCGGGUUAAGUGACUUAAAAUUUUUUCAUACGAUUUCGAAACGUAUUUAAUGUAUUAUGUACGUUCACGAAUAUCGAAUGUUUUAUUAGGUGCGGUCAUUUUUAUGAAUUCGCGUCUAUAAUUUUUUUUUUUUGACCUCAAAUCAGGUAAGAAUACCCGCUGAACUUAAGCAUAUCAAUAAGCGGGGGA
rnacentral:misc_RNA from 1 species